ACAAAAUCAAACAGCAGAUAUGUUUGUUGCCUUCUAUUUCACUAGUAAUAAAAUUUACAGGGUAAUGACAGUUCAGUAAGCUCAGAAUACGAAAUGGUACAAAUUUUUAAUACCUAGGUAAAUUUUGUUACCUCGACAGAAUUGGCCUGUAAAGCGCAUCUGUCAGUUAAGUUGCAGUUAACUUAACGCCAACAUUAAGUGGCGAUUAUGUCUUAACCAGAAGAUAUUUUAACAUUUGGAAAUUGUAAAAUAAUUAAUAAAAUAGUAUUUUGUCCGACGUUGGCCUUAAAAUAAAUUCUAUUAUGGGAAAUAUGGAACGUACUGCCUGUCUGCCUGCGCUCAGAUGCUAUUUAUAGGAAAAGAUAUAUGAUGAAGUUUUUAUUCGUAGUUUUCGUCUUUCCAAAAAUAGUGUAAAAUACGUUUGGAAAAAAAUAGAAAGCAAAAUUAGAAGCAAGACUGAAAGGAACAAAGCGGCGGAAAUUUCGCUUCUAACAUUAGGUUUUUGUGCAUCGGGAAGUGUUUUUAUUUUUGUUCCGUUGUUGGACACAACAAAAGUAGCGACUGUGAGUCGAGUGGUAAAUAGUAUCCAUUGCUACCGCUGCACUUGUCCGAUCAUUUCUCAGAACACCGAAAAAAGCAGAGAAAUUUAGAGCAUAAUGUACAUAUCGAAAUCCAAUCACCUGGAGAAGAAAAUUCCGAAGGCUAUCGAAGUUGCAAACAGUACUUGUAAAACGGAAGAAAGGGACUUUGUAUGAAGGUGACCUGGUUCUGGACAUGAUAGCUUUGUUCUUAAUAGCUGUCUGAAAGUCCGGUCUGAGCAAAACAAAUUUAGGGACUUCCUUUAAUUGAGUGGUAGUGGUUAUGGUUUCUCAGCAACUACAUGAUUUGUCAACUUCUACAUCCCAAUAUUCGCGUUGAACGUCUUUACAAUGAAUAUCAAGUAUGUACUCGAAAUACGACGGCUAAAUUAACAUCUUCCAAUGUUAACAUUGAAUAAAUAAUAAUUAUAAACAUUUA